rnacentral:rRNA from 1 species
GACGAACGCUGGCGGCGUGCUUAACACAUGCAAGUCGAACGGAAAGGCCCUGCUUUUGUGGGGUGCUCGAGUGGCGAACGGGUGAGUAACACGUGAGUAACCUGCCCUUGACUUUGGGAUAACUUCAGGAAACUGGGGCUCAUACCGGAUAGGAGCUCCUGCUGCAUGGUGGGGGUUGGAAAGUUUCGGCGGUUGGGGAUGGACUCGCGGCUUAUCAGCUUGUUGGUGGGGUAGUGGCUUACCAAGGCUUUGACGGGUAGCCGGCCUGAGAGGGUGACCGGCCACAUUGGGACUGAGAGACGGCCCAGACUCCAACGGUAGGCAGCAGUGGGGAAUAUUGCACAAUGGGCGGAAGCCUGAUGCAGCAACGCCGCGUGCGGGAUGACGGCCUUCGGGUUGUAAACCGCUUUCGCCUGUGACGAAGCGUGAGUGACGGUAAUGGGUAAAGAAGCACCGGCUAACUACGUG